GGCGGGACACGUGUUAUCCUGUCUGAAUAUGGGGGGACCAUCCUCCAAGGCUAAAUACUCCUGACUGACCGAUAGUGAACCAGUACCGUGAGGGAAAGGCGAAAAGAACCCCUGUGAGGGGAGUGAAAUAGAACCUGAAACCGUGUACGUACAAGCAGUAGGAGCCUCUUCGUGGGGUGACUGCGUACCUUUUGUAUAAUGGGUCAGCGACUUAUAUUCAGUGGCAAGGUUAACCAUUUAGGGGAGCCGUAGGGAAACCGAGUCUUAACUGGGCGUUCAGUCUCUGGAUAUAGACCCGAAACCGGGUGAUCUAGCCAUGGGCAGGUUGAAGGUUGAGUAACAUCAACUGGAGGACCGAACCGACUAAUGUUGAAAAAUUAGCGGAUGACUUGUGGCUAGGGGUGAAAGGCCAAUCAAACUCGGAGAUAGCUGGUUCUCCCCGAAAGCUAUUUAGGUAGCGCCUCGGACGAAUACUACUGGGGGUAGAGCACUGUUAAGGCUAGGGGGUCAUCCCGACUUACCAACCCUUUGCAAACUCCGAAUACCAGUAAGUACUAUCCGGGAGACACACGGCGGGUGCUAACGUCCGUCGUGGAGAGGGAAACAACCCAGACCGCCAGCUAAGGUCCCAAAUUACAGCUAAGUGGGAAACGAUGUGGGAAGGCUCAGACAGCUAGGAUGUUGGCUUAGAAGCAGCCAUCAUUUAAAGAAAGCGUAAUAGCUCACUAGUCGAGUCGGCCUGCGCGGAAGAUGUAACGGGGCUAAGCUGUAAACCGAAGCUGCGGCAAUGCGAUUUAUCGUAUUGGGUAGGGGAGCGUUCUGUAAGCCGUUGAAGGUGUGUUGUAAAGCAUGCUGGAGGUAUCAGAAGUGCGAAUGCUGACAUGAGUAACGACAAGGGGGGUGAAAAACCUCCCCGCCGGAAGACCAAGGGUUCCUGUCCAACGUUAAUCGGGGCAGGGUAAGUCGACCCCUAAGGCGAGGCCGAAAGGCGUAGUCGAUGGGAAACGGGUUAAUAUUCCCGUACUUCUUACAAUUGCGAUGGGGGGACGGAGAAGGCUAGGUGGGCCUGGCGACGGUUGUCCAGGUUCAAGUGCGUAGGCUUGAGG
rnacentral:rRNA from 1 species